AGUCACUACCUUCAAUAAAAAGAAAAAAAAAAAAAAAAAGGAUACAUUGUGUAAGGUAUACUUCGUUGAAGUCGAACAUAUUAUAUAUACAUUUAUAUAAACGUGAACUGACUAAAGAAGUGAUUGUAUUUGGUUUAGAGGAAUUAUCUUGUUCCACGUGAUUAGUGUCCCAGUUAAAUAUUUCCUUAGGACUGGGAACCUAAUUUGAAUCCCCUCCAAUUUUCUGGAGAAAAUUUUAAGUUGGUCCUUAUUAAGAAUAUUUGGAGCACGUGACUACCCAUGGUAUUUGGUUUAGCUGAGGUUCCAUGAUUUUUGGGACUCAAAACAUCUUUCCAUACCGAUUGUUUUACGGCAAACAUUUUUUAUUGUUUGCUGGGAUUUUUUUUUUUUGAUAGAAUACACACUUAUUUGAUCGACAUUGCAAAUUCGGCCAAAGAGGUCAAUCAUCGAUCACCCAUAAUCAACGUGCCAUCAUAUCAACGAAGAAGAAAUCCAAAGAGCAGAAAAAACAACACUCGAAAGAAGCCCACAACGGUUUAUCGUGUCAACCAU